rnacentral:snoRNA from 1 species
AAGACUAUACUUUCGGGGAUCAUCUCUAUAGUUUGUUACUAGAGAAGUUUCUCUGAUCGUGUAGAGUACUGGAAACCACGAGGAAGUGAUGCAGCGUUCUUUCCUGAGCGUGAAGCUGGCUUUUGGUGUUGCUUUAUUACAAUUGCCAUCUGCCAUCGAUAACUGUUCUUACCCCCUCUUUGAAGAGUAAGAGGGAGAGAAAGUAACCUAGAGAU